UCUCUUUCAUUCUCUCCGAUAUCGGCAUUACACUCGACAAUAAAGUGUACGUUCAUUACGAGACCAGCCUUCGUAUCUGUAAUACGAAUAAUUUUCAAUCUCCUCUUUGUUCUUCGACAUUCCAGAAGAAUCUAUCCGUGUUACUAGAUAUAAUUAAUUUCUAUCAUUUAUCGUAUCGAUUCAACUUAGGUAUAUAUGACAAAUCUGUGUUGGUUUUAUGUGUGCUUCUUUCCUCCUUUGAAAUAGUAUUAUAGAAACAACUCUAUGUGGAUGUUACGUAUAUCUCUUUUUCUCUCUUUCCUCCUUUCAAAUAGCUUUAUAGAGUAAGUAUAAAAGAACAUUUCUCGUGAAUUUAAAAGAGGAUUCUUCUCUCGACAAAUUGAAUUGAAUGGAAUGACGCGUGUGGUUCGUUGCUUUUAAACGAGAAAACGUUUUCGCGGUCUGCGUCGAGUUAAGUACUUGUAAUCGUCUUGACAAGCAUCUUUAAAAGUCCUAUCUUCGUUUCGGAGUAUCAUGUAAUGGU